rnacentral:rRNA from 1 species
AUUGAACGCUGGCGGAAUGCUUUACACAUGCAAGUCGAACGGCAGCACGGACUUCGGUCUGGUGGCGAGUGGCGAACAGGUGAGUAAUACAUCGGAACGUGCCCAAUCGUGGGGGAUAACGUAGCGAAAGCUACGCUAAUACCGCAUACGAUCUAAGGAUGAAAGCGGGGGAUCGCAAGACCUCGCGCGAUUGGAGCGGCCGAUGGCAGAUUAGGUAGUUGGUAGGGUAAAGGCCUACCAAGCCGACGAUCUGUAGCUGGUCUGAGAGGAUGCUCAGCCACACUGGGACUGAGACACGGACCAGACUCCUACGGGAGGCAGCAGUGGGGAAUUUUGGACAAUGGACGCAAGUCUUAUCCAGCCAUUCCGCGUGCAGGAUGAAGGCCCUCGGGUUGUAAACUGCUUUUGUACAGAACGAAAAGGCUCUGGUUAAUACCUAGGGCUCAUGACGGUACUGUAAGAAUAAGCACCGGCUAACUACGUGCCAGCCGCCGCCGUAA